rnacentral:rRNA from 1 species
AUGGGGGAAACCCUGAUGCAGCCAUGCCGCGUGUGUGAAGAAGGCCUUCGGGUUGUAAAGCACUUUCAGUUGUGAGGAAAAGUUAGUAGUUAAUACCUGCUAGCCGUGACGUUAACAACAGAAGAAGCACCGGCUAACUCCGUGCCAGCAGCCGCGGUAAUACGGAGGGUGCGAGCGUUAAUCGGAAUUACUGGGCGUAAAGCGCACGCAGGCGGUUUGUUAAGCUAGAUGUGAAAGCCCCGGGCUCAACCUGGGAUGGUCAUUUAGAACUGGCAGACUAGAGUCUUGGAGAGGGGAGUGGAAUUCCAGGUGUAGCGGUGAAAUGCGUAGAUAUCUGGAGGAACAUCAGUGGCGAAGGCGACUCCCUGGCCAAAGACUGACGCUCAUGUGCGAAAGUGUGGGUAGCGAACAGGAUUAGAUACCCUGGUAGUCCACACCGUAAACGCUGUCUACUAGCUGUGUGUGUCUUUAAGACGUGCGUAGCGAAGCUAACGCGCUAAGUAGACCGCCUGG